UACGUAGGGUGCGAGCGUUGUCCGGAAUUAUUGGGCGUAAAGAGCUCGUAGGCGGUCUGUCGCGUCUGCUGUGAAAUCCCGAGGCUCAACCUCGGGCCGGCAGUGGGUACGGGCAGACUAGAGUGCGGUAGGGGAGAUUGGAAUUCCUGGUGUAGCGGUGGAAUGCGCAGAUAUCAGGAGGAACACCAGCGGCGAAGGCGGCGCUCUGGGCCGGAACUGACGCUGAGGAGCGAAAGCGUGGGGAGCAAACAGG
rnacentral:rRNA from 1 species